UUACCAAACUGUUGCCUCGGCGGGGUCACGCCCCGGGUGCGUAAAAGCCCCGGAACCAGGCGCCCGCCGGAGGAACCAACCAAACUCUUUCUGUAGUCCCCUCGCGGACGUAUUUCUUACAGCUCUGAGCAAAAAUUCAAAAUGAAUCAAAUCUUUCAACAACGGAUCUCUUGGUUCUGGCAUCGAUGAAGAACGCAGCGAAAUGCGAUAAGUAAUGUGAAUUGCAGAAUUCUGUGAAUCAUCGAAUCUUUGAACGCACAUUGCGCCCGCCAGUAUUCUUGCGGGCAUGCCUGUCCGAGCGUCAUUUCAACCCUCGAACCCCUCCGGGGGAUCGGCGUUGGGGAUCGGGACCCCUCACCGGGUGCCGGCCCUGAAAUACAGUGGCGGUCUCGCCGCAGCCUCUCCUGCGCAGUAGUUUGCACAUCUCGCACCGGGAGCGCGGCGCGUCCACGUCCGUAAAACACCCAACUUCUGAAAUGUUGACCUCGGAUCAGGUAGGAAUACCCGCUGAAGCAUAAUCUAGAUGCAUCGCGAGGACCGAGCCGACGCCCCGC
rnacentral:rRNA from 1 species